UCCAGACUCCUACGGGAGGCAGCAGUGGGGGAUAUUGCACAAUGGGGGGAACCCUGAUGCAGCGACACCGCGUGGGUGAAGGAGCGUUUCGGCGCGUAAAGCCCUAUCGGCAGGGAAGAAGGAGGACGGUACCUGACUAAGAAACCCCGGCUAACUACGUGCCAGCAGCCGCGGUAAUACGUAGGGGGCAAGCGUUAUCCGGAUUUACUGGGUGUAAAGGGGGCGCAGACGGCGAUGCAAGCCAGGAGUGAAAGCCCGGGGCCCAACCCCGGGACUGCUCUUGGAACUGCGUGGCUGGAGUGCAGGAGGGGCAGGCGGAAUUCCUGGUGUAGCGGUGAAAUGCGUAGAUAUCAGGAGGAACACCGGUGGCGAAGGCGGCCUGCUGGACUGCAACUGACGUUGAGGCCCGAAAGCGUGGGGAGCAAACAGGAUUAGAUACCCCAGUAAC
rnacentral:rRNA from 1 species